AGAGUUUGAUCCUGGCUCAGGACGAACGCUGGCGGCGUGCUUAACACAUGCAAGUCGAACGAUGAAGCGCCAGCUUGCUGGUGUGGAUUUGUGGCGAACGGGUGAGUAACACGUGAGUAACCUGCCCCCUACUCUGGGAUAAGCCUGGGAAACUGGGUCUAAUACUGGAUAUGACCAAUCACUGCAUGGUGUGUUGGUGGAAAGAUUUUUUGGUGGGGGAUGGACUCGCGGCCUAUCAGCUUGUUGGUGGGGUAAUGGCCUACCAAGGCGACGACGGGUAGCCGGCCUGAGAGGGCGACCGGCCACACUGGGACUGAGACACGGCCCAGACUCCUACGGGAGGCAGCAGUGGGGAAUAUUGCACAAUGGGCGAAAGCCUGAUGCAGCGACGCCGCGUGAGGGAUGACGGCCUUCGGGUUGUAAACCUCUUUCACCAGGGACGAAGCUAACGUGACGGUACCUGGAGAAGAAGCACCGGCUAACUACGUGCCAGCAGCCGCGGUAAUAC
rnacentral:rRNA from 1 species